GGACAAUGGGGGCAACCCUGAUCCAGCAACGCCGCGUGGAGGAUGAAUGUCGUAAGAUUGUAAACUCCUGUUAGAGGGGAAGAAUAGUACCGGUUGGACCGGUAUAUGACUGUACCCUCAGAGAAAGCCCCGGCUAACUACGUGCCAGCAGCCGCGGUAAUACGUAGGUGGCAAGCGUUGUCCGGAUUUACUGGGCGUAAAGGGAGCGUAGGCGGACUUUUAAGUGAGAUGUGUAAUACCCGGGCUCAACCUGGGUGAUGCAUUUCAAACUGGAAGCCUAGAGUGAAGGAGAGGAGAGUGGAAUUCCUAGUGUAGCGGUGAAAUGCGUAGAGAGUAGGAAGAACACCAGUGGAGAAGGCGACUCUCUGGACUGUAACUGACGCUGAGGCUCGAAAGCGUGGGGAGCAAAC
rnacentral:rRNA from 1 species